rnacentral:lncRNA from 1 species
CUUCAGAGUAAAUAGAAUCCUUUCUUCACUGCUCCAUUGUCAGCUCAGGAACCACUGAGAAGGAAGCCUCCAGAAUCCUACAGCAGAUAGCAACAGUAGCUGCUGCAGUGAUGGCAUUAUAACCUGCAAUGCCUUUUUCAUCCCCAUAUCUCUUCCAGCUCAAGAAAUGUGGAUUCUUGUGGGUGGUAAAGCAUACCUAUCAAAUGUUGUUAUUGUCAUUUUUUUCAGGCUUCUUAUCAAUUGAAUUUUUUUUUUUGCCAUUUUUAUUCCCAUACCCCUUCAUCAACCCUAUCUGCAAGUCCCCAAAGUUUCUCUUUUUCGAUUUAAUUAAAUACACAAAAUCUAAUGUAUGAUCAUAUGCUAUUUUUAUUUAUUCAUUUAUUCACUUAUUUUGGUACUGGAGAUCGUACAUGAGCUCUACAAUUGAGUACAUUCCCUUAUUCCUAUAUUUACGUAUAUUCCAUAUUGUUUUAAAUACUUUCUUAGAUGAUAGACUUAAAUAGCCAUUUGAGUCAAGUAUUCAUUCCAGAAAUUCUGUAAUGUUACUUUCUAUAAGCUGACUGAAGACAUUUGAUCUGGCUACCAUAUAAUUGGUGUGUCCUCAGAUUACUAACAACAUGUUUGAGAGCCCCAAUUAAGUCUAUUUCAUUUUUAUUGCUUUAGCAGCAGGAAAUAAAGUACAUUUGAAAAUUCUCUGUAUUGUUUCAGAAUCAAGACCAGAGUCGCAAACAAGGUAUCAACUUUAAAGGGAAGGAUUUUGUAAGGAUGAAUCCACACCAAAAGAUCUCUAGCAUAUAUUAUGAGGAUUCCUUACAGAUUCCUGAGUAUGGAGAAGUCUGUCAGUAUAAAGACCAAUUAGAAAAGCAUGAAGGCAGGACCAUAGGAGAAUGAUGUUGUAAAUGCAGUGAGUGUGGAAAAAUGUUUGUUCAGAACUCAGGCCUCGUUUGGCAUCAGAGAAUCCACACUGGAGAGAAAAUUUAUGAGUGUGAUCACAGUGGAAAAGCCUUCAGUGUGUGCUCAACCUUUAUUGUGCAUGAAAGAAUCCACAUUGGAGAGAAGCCCUAUACUUGUAAUGAAUGUAAGAAAGCCUAAACUGUGAGGGCACAUCUGAUUAUACAUCAGAGAAUCCACAAUGGAAAAAAGCCCUAUGACUGCAGAGAAUGUGGCAAAGCAUUUAGUGUUAGUUCAGACCUUAUUAAAUAUCAGAGAAUCCAUAGUAGUGAGAAACCAUAUGAAUGUGAUGAGUGUGGGAAAUUUUUCAGUCUGAGCUCAGCCUUCAUCAACAUCAGAGAAUCCACACAGAAGAGAAGCCAUAUGAGUGUAAGAAGUGUGAGAAAGCUUUCUAUGUGAACUCAACUCUUAUUAAUCACCAGAGAAUUCACUCUGGAGAAAAGCUUUAUGAAUGUGGAGAGUGUGGAAAAGCCUUCAGUCAGAUCUCAACCCUUAUUCAUCACCAGAGAAUCUAUACUGGAGAAAAACCAUAUGAGUGUGAUGAAUGUGGGAAAACUUUCUGUGGGAACUUCAGUCUUAACUAAGCACCAGAAAAUACACACCAAAGUUAAGUGUCAUCAGUGAUGUAUGUGGUGAAGAUAUUCCAGAGGCCUUUUGUUGCAUCAUAAGUUACCAUCAAAAGAAGAAUAUGAUAAAAAGUUAAUGCAUUAAUUUUCAUUUUACCUUUUGGAAUAUUGAAGAAAUGAAAAGUCACCGAAAGUGACUCCAGCAGCAUAAUAUCUAAGACUGAAAAAUCACAUCUACUCUGACAGUGUUGUUUACAACUGUAAGGUAAAGCCAUUUAAAAAUCUUAUUCUAAGCCACAUGCAGUUGCUCAUGCCUGUAAUCCCAGUAGCUCUGAGGCAGGAGGAUUGUGAGUUCAAAGCCUGCCUUAGCAACUGAGUGAGACCCUGCUAAAUAAAAUAUAAAAAGGGUUGGGGAUGUGGUUCAGUGGUUAAGCACCC